rnacentral:rRNA from 1 species
UAUUAGAGUUCGACUAAGCCAUGCAUGUCAUGGGAAUCUUCGGAUGAACCGGCAAACUGCUCAGUAACACGUCGAUAAUCUGCCCUUAGGUCAGGGAUAGUCUCGGGAAACUGAGUUUAAACCCUGAUAAAAGAUGGAUUCUGGAAUAUGAUUCAUCUUCCAAAAGUAAUGCCUAUGGAUGAGUCGGCGGCGGAUUAGGUUGUUGGUGGUGUAAUGGACCACCAAGCCAAAGAUCCGUAGGGGCCUUGAGAGAGGUAGCCCCGAGAAGGACACUUAGAUACUGGUCCUAGCCCUACGGGGUGCAGCAGGCGCUAAACCUUUACAAUGCACGAAAGUGUGAUAAGGGAACUCUAAGUGCUCAUGUUCUACAUGGGCUUUUGCCAAGAGUAAAAAUCUUGGCGAAUAAGUGGUGGGCAAGACUGGUGCCAGCAGCCGCGGUAACACCAGCGCCACAAGUGGGAAUCGUAUUUAUUGGGCCUAAAGCGUCCGUAGCUGGUUGUGAAAAUCUUUUGUGAAAUCGUUGGGCUUAACUCAACGGCGUGCAGGAGACACUACACGACUUGGAACCAGGAGGAGUUAGCAGUAUGGUUGGGGGAGCGGUAAAAUGCUAUAAUCCCAAUUAGACUACCUGUGGCGAAGGCGGCUAACUAGAAUGGAUUCGACAGUGAGGGACGAAGGCCAGGGGAGCGAACCGGAUUAGAUACCCGAGUAGUCCUGGCAGUAAACUCUGCGAGUUAGGUGUUGCAUAUUCUACGCGAAUGUGCAGUAUCGGAGCGAAGGCGUUAAACUCGCCGCCUGGGAAGUACGGUCGCAAGACUGAAACUUAAAGGAAUUGGCGGGGGAGCACUACAAGGGGUGCGGCGUGCGGUUUAAUUUAACUCCACUCAGAGAAUCUCACCAGCGCGACGGCAGGAUGAAAGUCAGAUUGAAGGUUUUACUUGACGAGCCGAGAGGUGCUGCAUGGCCGCCGUCAGCUCGUGCCGUAAGGUGUCCGGUUAAGUCCGGUAACGAGCGAGACCUGUGUCUACAAUUGCUAACGGGUCCUUCAGGAUGACUGAGCACAUUGUAGAGACUGCCCUGGAAACAGGGAGGAAGGUGCAGGCUACGGUAGGUCUGUAUGGCCCGAAUCUGCUGGGCUACACGCGCGCAACAAUGGUAGAGACAAUGGGAUGCCACUCCGAAAGGAGAAGCUAAUCCUCUAAACCCUAUCUAAGUUCAGAUUGAGGACUGUAACUCGUCCUCAUGACGUCGGAAUCCCUAGUAAUUGGAUGUUAUCAGCGUCCAGUGAAUAUGUCCCUGCUCCUUGUACACACCGCCCGUCAAACCACUCGAGCAGGGUUUAGGUGAGACCUGGUCUUCUUUGAUUAGGCCGAACCUAAGCUCAGUGAGAUGGGUUAAGUCGUCACAAGGCA